AGACAGCCAGGAUGUUGGCUUAGAAGCAGCCAUCAUUUAAAGAAAGCGUAAUAGCUCACUGGUCGAGUCGGCCUGCGCGGAAGAUGUAACGGGGCUAAACCAUGCACCGAAGCUGCGGCAGCGACGCUUAGGCGUUGUUGGGUAGGGGAGCGUUCUGUAAGCCGUUGAAGGUGGCCUGUGAGGGUUGCUGGAGGUAUCAGAAGUGCGAAUGCUGACAUAAGUAACGAUAAAGCGGGUGAAAAGCCCGCUCGCCGGAAGACCAAGGGUUCCUGUCCAACGUUAAUCGGGGCAGGGUGAGUCGACCCCUAAGGCGAGGCUGAAAAGCGUAGUCGAUGGGAAACAGGUUAAUAUUCCUGUACUUGGUGUUACUGCGAAGGGGGGACGGAGAAGGCUAGGCUAGCCGGGCGACGGUUGUCCCGGUUUAAGCGUGUAGGGGGUGUGACCUGGUAAAUCCGGUUGCAUACUAACCCUGAGGCGUGAUGACGAUGCACUACGGUGCAGAAGUAGUUGAUGCCCUGCUUCCAGGAAAAUCCUCUAAGCUCCAGGUAACAUUAAAUCGUACCCCAAACCGACACAGGUGGUCAGGUAGAGAAUACCAAGGCGCUUGAGAGAACUCGGGUGAAGGAACUAGGCAAAAUGGUGCCGUAACUUCGGGAGAAGGCACGCUGGCAUGUAGGUGAAGUCCCUUGCGGAUGGAGCUGAAGCCAGUCGAAGAUACCAGCUGGCUGCAACUGUUUAAUAAAAACACAGCACUGUGCAAACACGAAAGUGGACGUAUACGGUGUGACGCCUGCCCGGUGCUGGAAGGUUAAUUGAUGGGGUCAGCCGCAAGGCGAAGCUCUUGAUCGAAGCCCCAGUAAACGGCGGCCGUAACUAUAACGGUCCUAAGGUAGCGAAAUUCCUUGUCGGGUAAGUUCCGACCUGCACGAAUGGCGUAAUGAUGGCCAGGCUGUCUCCACCCGAGACUCAGUGAAAUUGAACUCGCUGUGAAGAUGCAGUGUACCCGCGGCAAGACGGAAAGACCCCGUGAACCUUUACUAUAGCUUGACACUGAACAUUGAGCCUUGAUGUGUAGGAUAGGUGGGAGGCUUUGAAGCGUGGACGCCAGUCUGCGUGGAGCCAUCCUUGAAAUACCACCCUUUAAUGUUUGAUGUUCUAACUCGGCCCC
rnacentral:rRNA from 1 species